rnacentral:rRNA from 1 species
AACGAACGCUGGCGGCAGGCCUAACACAUGCAAGUCGAGCGCCCCGCAAGGGGAGCGGCGGACGGGUGAGUAACGCGUGGGAACGUGCCUCUUGCUACGGAAUAGCCUCGGGAAACUGGGAGUAAUACCGUAUGUGCCCUACGGGGGAAAGAUUUAUCGGCAAGAGAUCGGCCCGCGUUGGAUUAGGUAGUUGGUGGGGUAAUGGCCUACCAAGCCGACGAUCCAUAGCUGGUUUGAGAGGAUGAUCAGCCACACUGGGACUGAGACACGGCCCAGACUCCUACGGGAGGCAGCAGUGGGGAAUCUUAGACAAUGGGCGCAAGCCUGAUCUAGCCAUGCCGCGUGAGCGAUGAAGGCCUUAGGGUUGUAAAGCUCUUCAGUGGGGAAGAUAAUGACUGUACCCACAGAAGAACGCCCCGGCUAACUCCGUGCCAGCAGCCGACGGUAAAGAUGAGACGU